GAUGAACGCUGGCGGCGUGCCUAAUACAUGCAAGUCGAGCGAACAGACGAGGAGCUUGCUCCGCUGACGUUAGCGGCGGACGGGUGAGUAACACGUGGAUAACCUACCUAUAAGACUGGGAUAACUUCGGGAAACCGGAGCUAAUACCGGAUAAUAUAUUGAACCGCAGGGUUCAGUAGUGAAAGACGGUUUUGCUGUCACUUAUAGAUGGAUCCGCGCCGCAUUAGCUAGUUGGUAAGGUAACGGCUUACCAAGGCAACGAUGCGUAGCCGACCUGAGAGGGUGAUCGGCCACCCUGGAACUGAGCCACGGUCCAGACUCCUACGGGAGGCAGCAGUAGGGAAUCUUCCGCAAUGGGCGAAAGCCUUACGGAGCAACGCCGCGUGAGUGAUGAAGGUCUUCGGAUCGUAAAACUCUGUUAUUAGUGAAGAACAAAUGUGUAAGUAACUAUGCACGUCUUGACGGUACCUAAUCAGAAAGCCACGGCUAACUACGUG
rnacentral:rRNA from 1 species